rnacentral:rRNA from 1 species
AACGAACGCUGGCGGCGCGCUUAACACAUGCAAGUCGAACGAGAAGGCGUAGCAAUACGCUUGUAAAGUGGCGAACGGGUGAGGAAUACAUGGGUAACCUACCCUCGAGUGGGGGAUAACCCGCCGAAAGGCGGGCUAAUACCGCGUACGCUUCCGAUCUUGCGGGAUCGGAAGGAAAGCUGUCCCUUGGGGAUGGCGCUCAAGGAUGGGCUCAUGUCCUAUCAGCUUGUUGGUAGGGUAACGGCCUACCAAGGCAUCGACGGGUAGCUGGUCUGAGAGGACGAUCAGCCACACUGGCACUGCGACACGGGCCAGACUCCUACGGGAGCAGCAGUGAGGAAUAUUGCG